rnacentral:lncRNA from 1 species
UUUUUUGUUGUUCGCCUAUACCUACAAAUAAGAACAGAGUGAGCUGCAUAAAAAAAUCAACUUUUUCCAUUUUAGUUUCAUCCAUUUUGUUUUUGCACUUGGCAACAUAGUGAACCAUUGGGAGAGAGAAGAUCACGACGACAAUGAAACAAGUGAGCUGCACUUAAAAAAAAAUUCUUCAAUGCACGUUUUCGAGAGCGCUGCAAUUUGUACAUCUCUAGACCACGAGACGGGGCAAACAAACUGCAAAGAUCCUCUUUUUAAUCCACAAUAGAAACACACAAAUCACAAUGACGAGGGACUUAAAAAUUAAUGCACAUUUUUGUCCGUGAUAUGCAAGCCAGCGCCGGCGCACUGCAUGUCCAGCCCCCACAGCACUGCAUCUGUGCACCCAUGGGUUCCAGCCAAAAUCUGAAAAGCGGAGAAAUGUCAACCGUGAGCAAAAUACACAUAAAAACCACCAUCUUCCUGCACCCCAUCUUCAAAAUACACACAAAAAUGGAACAAGUGGGCUGCAUCACAAGACUACAUUCUUUUGCUUUUUUCCUUGUGUGAAUGCAGUGAACCACAAGACUCCCUCAAGUGGGCUGCACCAACCCAUCUACCAUGGCGAACUGCAAGCAUGAGCUACCACCUUUUCAUAUCAAAAAAACUGCAAGCAGGAGCUAGUGAACCUCAUGCCCGAUGAACUAAACAAAGAUUUUAGUGUACUACAUUAGUAAAUGUAUUGCACUGAAUUCCCCAGAAUCAACAGCGAAAAUCUGAAAAAAAAAUGCAAGCCCUGGCGAGCUGCACGCCCGUUUUCACUGCAUCCCUGCAAAAUCUGAAAAAAAUGCCGAUGCCUAUGGAGGAACUGCAUGAGGGCGCGUGGUGCACUGCUCGAGGUAUCCAGAUGCACUGCAAUGGCACGGUAAGGGACCUCGCAAACGAGCGCACGCCUGAAGGGAGUCGUCCGCGCUGGGGAUGGUGUGGUCGCGCCGGCGUGCACCAGCACCGAACCAAAUCACGCAUGCCGCCGAGCUGCACGGCGACGGUCGCCGGACUGCAGAGGGGAGAUGGUGUUGUUGAAACACAUCAGUCCAAAAGAGGAGAUCACGGGGUAGGAAUUGGAUCCGAGGCGGAGAUGCUCAUCAGAGGCCUACCGGAGAGGUGAGAUGGAGGACACCUGGUCUCCUCCUCGGCCCCUGGUGGCGGACAGGUGUGCGACGGGCACCGGUGGUUGUCCGGAUCCCGGCGGUGAUGGCCAGAGACGAGGACGAC